UAUUGCACAAUGGGGGAAACCCUGAUGCAGCGACGCCGCGUGAGCGAAGAAGUAUUUCGGUAUGUAAAGCUCUAUCAGCAGGGAAGAAAAAAUGACAGUACCUGACUAAGAAGCCCCGGCUAACUACGUGCCAGCAGCCGCGGUAAUACGUAGGGGGCAAGCGUUAUCCGGAUUUACUGGGUGUAAAGGGAGCGUAGACGGCUGCGCAAGUCAGAAGUGAAAGCCCGGGGCUCAACCGCGGAACUGCUUUUGAAACUGUGUAGCUAGAGUGCAGGAGAGGUAAGUGGAAUUCCUAGUGUAGCGGUGAAAUGCGUAGAUAUUAGGAGGAACACCGGUGGCGAAGGCGGCUUACUGGACUGUAACUGACGUUGAGGCUCGAAAGCGUGGGGAGCAAACAGG
rnacentral:rRNA from 1 species